rnacentral:tRNA from 1 species
GGGGGCGUGGCGGAAUUGGCAUACGCGGGGGUCUUAAAAACCCUUGCCGGAAGGCUUGUGGGUUCGAACCCCACCGCCCCUACCA